GUAGGUGGCAAGCGUUGUCCGGGAAUUAUUGGGGCGUAAAGCGCGCGCAGGCGGUUCUUUAAGUCUGAUGUGAAAGCCCACGGGCUCAACCAUGGAGGGUCAUUGGAAACUGGAGAACUUGAGUACAGAAGAGGAAAGCGGAAUUCCACGUGUAGCGGUGAAAUGCGUAGAGAUGUGGAGGAACACCAGUGGCGAAGGCGGCUUUCUGGUCUGUAACUGACGCUGAGGCGCGAAAGCGUGGGGAGCAAACAGGAUUAGAUACCCUGGUAGUCCACGCCGUAAACGAUGAGUGCUAAGUGUUAGGGGGUUUCCGCCCCUUAGUGCUGCAGCUAACGCAUUAAGCACUCCGCCUGGGGAGUACGGCCGCAAAGGCUG
rnacentral:rRNA from 1 species